GUUCUUUGCAGAGAAUGAUCUUGGGACAGAAGAACUCAUCCACAGCUGACUGAAUGGGAUCUCUAGGGGGCAGCUCGUGAGGAGGACUGGGAUGGAAGAAAAAAAAGGAUUGGAGUUUUGGGAACAGAAAACUGGACUGAGCUUGGGCGUUUCUUCGAUGAGAAAAAUCGGCAGAAUGUCGGCCCAAUUCCAUAGAUGGGUUAGCUGAUAACGUUACCAGAACGAAGCCCACGCUACAAAUGGGGCAGAAGACCAUGUGUUGUGAUUCUGGACGGCCUGAUAGUUAGUUUCGUGUUAUGGUUGCUGUCACGUGGGGAAUAAUAAAUUGCUCGUUUGUUGGUUUCAUCAUGUUCUUGAUACCAUGUCUUGUUUUAAGGUAUUUGACCGAUUUCAUGACAAUGCUAAUACGGCAAAAAAAUUGCUAGCUAUCUAACCAACAACUGACACGAUGUAUUUGAGAGACAAGUGCUCAUUGUGCAAAUGUUUUUGUUUUCAAUAAACAUUGAAGACAAAA